rnacentral:rRNA from 1 species
UACGUAGGGUGCAAGCGUUAAUCGGAAUUACUGGGCGUAAAGCGUGCGCAGGCGGUUUUGUAAGUCUGACGUGAAAGCCCCGGGCUCAACCUGGGAAUGGCGAUGAAGACUGCAAGGCUUGAAUCUGGCAGAGGGGGGUAGAAUUCCACGUGUAGCAGUGAAAUGCGUAGAGAUGUGGAGGAACACCGAUGGCGAAGGCAGCCCCCUGGGUCAAGAUUGACGCUCAUGCACGAAAGCGUGGGGAGCAAACAGG